rnacentral:rRNA from 1 species
UACGUAGGGCGCAAGCGUUGUCCGGAAUUAUUGGGCGUAAAGAGCUCGUAGGCGGUUUGUCGCGUCUGCUGUGAAAACCCGAGGCUCAACCUCGGGCCUGCAGUGGGUACGGGCAGACUAGAGUGUGGUAGGGGAGACUGGAAUUCCUGGUGUAGCGGUGGAAUGCGCAGAUAUCAGGAGGAACACCAAUGGCGAAGGCAGGUCUCUGGGCCACAACUGACGCUGAGGAGCGAAAGCAUGGGGAGCGAACAGG